UACAGAGGGUGCGAGCGUUGUCCGGAAUCACUGGGCGUAAAGGGCGCGUAGGCGGCCUGAUAAGUCGGGGGUGAAAUCCUGUGGCUUAACCACAGGGCUGCCUCCGAGACUGUCGGGCUCGAGCACAGUAGAGGCAGGUGGAAUUCCCGGUGUAGAGGUGAAAUUCGUAGAUAUCGGGAGGAACACCAGUGGCGAAGGCGGCGAUCUGGGACGUUACUGACGCUGAGACGCGAAAGCGUGGGGAGCAAACAGG
rnacentral:rRNA from 1 species